GUGCUCAUUUCAGCAGCAUAUGUUCUAAAAUUAGAAAGCCAGAGAGAUUAGCAUGGCCCCUGUACAAGGAUGACUCACAAAUUGGACUUAUUAGAAGCCCUACUCU
ensembl:snRNA U6 U6 spliceosomal RNA